AUUUCCCCGGCUUUUUGCAGGGUGGGGAGGACAGAGAAGCUGCAGGGAGAGAUGAAGUUUUUUCCUUGAGGAUGAAAAGCUCUUAACCUUGCACGUUUGGCUUCUUCUAUUCAAUUUUUUUAAAAGCAGAGAUAGGGAGCUCACAGAAUCCUCCCCACAAAGCCGAGAAGCAGGAAGCAGCAACCCUCCCAGAUGAAGAAGCGAAGGCUCGGAAAAGCUAAGUAACUUCUCCAAGCUGACGCAGCUCGUGAGAGGAGGGACUGGGAUUCAAAUCCCUGCAGGGGGAGACCAGCAGCCCCGACUUCAGCCGCCAUGCCUCCUGCCUGAGAAGCUAGCUGCGAAGGUUCCAGAAGGAGACUGCCCUCCGGGAACAGAAACAGCGCAUGACUGCGACCUGUCUGCAAAAAUCUUGAUCACUUGUAAAUCCUUCUCCACCUGAUAAGUUAUCACAUUGGCUCAUGAUGUUUUUUUUCAUUCUCACCCUAUGGCGUGGAUGCUGUUACUACCCCAUUUUACAAAGGAGUAAAGUGAGGCCCAGAGAGAACAGUUAAAUCACUUCCCCAGCUUCACUCAACUCAUCUACGGAAGAAAUGUACCACCACUCUGAAGAAUGAAAGAAAGCAAGCUAAAAAGGAGAGAGAGCAUGAAGAAGGAAGACAAAACUGAAGUUAGGUCAUGGAAACCAGAAGAGAUCCUGGGGCCACAUUGUGCACUUGAAUCUCAUUAUGGUCAAACCCUGUUGCAACAUUUCCCAAAAGACCAAGAAGGGGAAAACUCUGGAAGCUGGGGAAGGGAAAGUACUGACAGCCUGUGCCUGAGUGUGUGAGCAUGUGUGUGUGUGUGUGUGAGUGUGUGUGUAUCUUAGACUUGGACUACAAAAUUUAGAGAAAAAAGAGUAAGAAAGAAAAGAAAGAAAAAAUACAACACUUAAACAUUCCAUACAUAGAGGUCACAUAUGAAGGGACAAUGAAAUGGUGUCUUAGAAGAAUUUGGGGUCUUUGCAGGUGUGCCCCCUAGAACACCGCAUCGGUCUACAUCUGUGUUCUAGUCUCUGAAGAAAUCAUGUGGUUCUUCUGGUGCCCGCCGAGGAAUUUACUGGUAUUUAUGAAAAGAACAUGGCUUAGUUGCGUCUCUUCUGAUCUAACCCAUUUGGAACGUAACUUAGAAGGACAGUCCUGCGCAUCUUCUUGCGAAACUGUUCCAUAGUCCUCCCCUAGGAAGUCGUGCAGUUCUUGGAGACAUUUGGGCAACUCUUUAAUCUGCCUCAUCAGGGAGGGAGGGCACACAGGCCUGGGGUAGAAAAGGCCAGCCUCAUUUUUUUUUUUUUAUUGUGAUGAAAUUGCAAACUUACAUCCUGAGACUAAAAUUAAAUGGAGGAAAGCUCUGCCCGUCGUGGGUGGUCUUCCUCGGGCCCUUCGGAAGGAGGGGUCGGAUGGAGCAGGAGAGCACAUUUAGCAACAUUUCCAAUAGGGUAAUGACAGCAAUCAUGAUAGCUGUCCCCCUUGGGAGGGAGAAAUCACAAAAACCUACACAGUGACAAAAAUAAACAAGCGUGUAACGCCAGCAGAGGAGGCCUGGCCCGCUCUGAACUUGGAGAACAUCAAAGUGAAGCCAGUUAUCAGGCCGUCCAGGCUCCAGGCUCCUUCGCGUCCUGCUCAGUGCUUUUAUCAGCCGUUUGGACUUUGGAGGAGCCCAGAGGACGCUCGCUGAGCACAGCUGCGAGGAACAGACGUGCUGGACUGCAGAGUCUGAACAGAAAGGAUGCUCAGGCUGUGGCUGAU
rnacentral:lncRNA from 1 species